UGAACCUCUUUGGGUUCUGAGAGUUGCCUGCCUCAUGAAUCAUUCUUUGCUCAAACUCUUGUUAAGUCUAUUUUAUCUAAAAUAUUUCUUUUUUUAUCACGGGUCUCAUGAUUUCUGUUCUAUGUACUAGCUGUGUGAGCUUGGGAAAGCUGUUCAGCCUCCAUUUCCUCAUCUGGAAAACGGGGAUGGUCAUAAUGGGAGCCAUGUUUGGGGAUUGUGUUCUCAGUGGAAACCUCCAUCUGGAAUAAUCCAGUUCAUCACUGCUGAACUCAAGGAUGACAGUCACUUGGAAGAAAAAUGUUAAAUAAUUUCUGUUGAAUAUAAAUAUGGAGAACUGAAUGUCUCUGCA